rnacentral:rRNA from 1 species
AGGACGAACGCUGGCGGCGUGCUUAACACAUGCAAGUCGAGCGGAAAGGCCCUUCGGGGUACUCGAGCGGCGAACGGGUGAGUAACACGUGAGUAAUCUGCCCCUAGCUCUGGGAUAGCUCCGGGAAACCGGGAUUAAAUACCAGAUACGACCACUUUAGACAUCUGUUGUGGUGGAAAGAAUUUCGGCUAGGGAUGAGCUCGCGGCCUAUCAGCUUGUUGGUGAGGUAACGGCUCACCAAGGCGACGACGGGUA